UACGAAGGGGGCUAGCGUUGCUCGGAAUUAUUGGGCGUAAAGGGUGCGUAGGCGGCUGUACAAGUCAAAGGUGAAAUCCCUCGGCUCAACUGAGGAACUGCCUUUGAAACUGUACGGCUUGAGGCCGGGAGGGGGUAGCGGAAUUCCCAGUGUAGCGGUGAAAUGCGUAGAUACUGGGAGGAACACCAGUGGCGAAGGCGGCUUCCUGGACCGGUUCUGACGCUGAGGCGCGAAAGCGUGGGUAGCAAACAGG
rnacentral:rRNA from 1 species